rnacentral:lncRNA from 1 species
CUGCAUUGUGAAGCGGUAAAUGAAGUCAGUCAAGAGAAAAUGAGCAACAGAAGAAGAAGAAGGGUAAACUCACAAAGAGCAAGCUUUUUUACCUGUUUUCAUUAGAGCCUCCAUACGAGUAAGAAGUCUUUUGGUUUGCAUAUCAGGCGUUUCGUUUAAAUCAACCUGAUUCAAGUUUCCGGUUAACCCAUUCGAAGGUGGUGGCAGACCAGUGAACUCACUUGUACCUUCGACGUUACCAAUGUCCAUAGCCACUUUAGCUUCCGUUGGAAAGAACAACUGAGCAAGCCCCACUGCAAAAGGUUAAUGCUUUAACAAAAAUGUCGUAAAGAUACAGAAGAAUUUAGCAAUUAUCAGUCAAUUACCUCUCUUUUCUAGGUACAUCAGUCUCAUUUGCAGAUCUUCAGGCAUAGAAAGGGAACACAUUGGGGUAUCCAGAACCAUGGGGUUCUUCCUGAUUUCUCUUUCCAAGAUAUC